rnacentral:rRNA from 1 species
AUUGAACGCUGGCGGCAGGCCUAACACAUGCAAGUCGAGCGGAGCGGCGGACGGGCGAGUAAUGCCUAGGAAUCUGCCUGGUAGCGGGGGAUAACGUCCGGAAACGGGCGCUAAUACCGCAUACUAUCAGAUGAGCCUAGGUCGGAUUAACUAGUUGGUGGGGUAAAGGCCUACCAAGGGGACGAUCCGUAACUGGUCUCAGAGGAUGAACAGUCACAAUGGAACGAAGAAACGGUCCAGGCUCCAACGGGAGGCAGCAGUGGGGAAUGUUAGACAAGGGGCGAAAGCCGAAUCCAACCAUGCCGCGUAUGUGAAGAAGGUCUUGGGAUUGUAAGGCACUUUAAGGUGGGAGACGUUACCGACAGAAUAAGCACCGGCUAACUUCGUGCCAGCAGCCGCGGUAAUUC